UACGGAGGGUGCAAGCGUUGCUCGGAAUUAUUGGGCGUAAAGGGUAGGUAGGUGGUCUCAUUUGUCUGGGGUGAAAGCCUUGAGCUUAACUCAAGAAGUGCCCCAGAAACGGUGAGACUGGAGUCCUGGAGAGGGUCGUGGAAUUCCCGGUGUAGCGGUGAAAUGCGUAGAGAUGGGGGAGAACACUCGUGGCGAAGGCGGCCAGCUAGACCAGUUCUGACACUGAGGCGCGAUAGCGUGGGGAGCAAACAGG
rnacentral:rRNA from 1 species